AGAACGAACGCUGGCGGCAUGCCUAACACAUGCAAGUCGAACGCUUCCGGGGCUUCGGUCGCGGAGGAGUGGCGCACGGGUGAGUAGCGCGUGGGAACCUGCCCUGUUGUGGGGGAUAACCGAGGGAAACUUCGGCUAAUACCGCAUACGCCCCGGGACUUGGUCUUCGGAUUAGGUCUGGGGGGAAAGAUUGAUCGCAGCAGGAGGGGCCCGCGUCGGAUUAGCUGGUUGGUGGGGUAACGGCUCACCAAGGCGAUGAUCCGUAGCUGGUCUGAGAGGAUGAUCAGCCACACUGGGACUGAGACACGGCCCAGACUCCUACGGGAGGCAGCAGUGGGGAAUAUUGGACAAUGGGGGCAACCCUGAUCCAGCAAUGCCGCGUGAGUGAUGAAGGCCUUAGGGUUGUAAAGCUCUUUCGCCCGCGACGAUGAUGACGGUAGCGGGAGAAGAAGCCCGGCUAACUUCGCGCUAGCAGCCGCGGU
rnacentral:rRNA from 1 species